rnacentral:rRNA from 1 species
GUGGGGGAUAUUGCACAAUGGGGGAAACCCUGAUGCAGCGAUGCCGCGUGGAGGAAGAAGGUUUUCGGAUUGUAAACUCCUGUCGUAAGGGAAGAGGAAGGACUGUACCUUACAAGAAAGCUCCGGCUAACUACGUGCCAGCAGCCGCGGUAAUACGUAGGGAGCGAGCGUUGUCCGGAAUGACUGGGUGUAAAGGGAGCGUAGGCGGGAUGGCAAGUCAGAUGUGAAACCUGAGGGCUCAACCUUCAGACUGCAUUUGAAACUGCUGUUCUUGAGUGAAGUAGAGGUAAGCGGAAUUCCUGGUGUAGCGGUGAAAUGCGUAGAGAUCAGGAGGAACAUCGGUGGCGAAGGCGGCUUACUGGGCUUUUACUGACGCUGAGGCUCGAAAGCGUGGGGAGCAAACAGGAUUAGAAACCCGAGUAGUCC